rnacentral:lncRNA from 1 species
AUAAUAAUAAAUAUAUAAUUAAAUAAAUAGAGAAUUAAGGUAAUAGAUGUAUUUAAAUGAAAUUAAAUAACAAUAAAUAAAUAAAUUAACAUAGAAAAUGAUAAUCUGUCCUCUAUGAUGAUGAUAGGAACAGUGAAGUUGUCAUCUGGUUCUAGAGAUUUGUGAGCGAAUCAAGGUAAGUAACCCUGGCACUGAUCUUAUUAAUUUAAAAUCACUGUUUAAUUGUAAGAAUAAAAUAAUGAAAAAUAUAUUUGGUAUGAUGUAUUUUCUUAAAAGUAGGAUCAAGCAUAUGAUUGCAUGUGAUUCAUGAGUUUGACUAAAAUGCAUCCUUCAUGAAUAUUUGAGUAUAAAUCAUGAUUAUGAUAAAUUGCAUGAAAAUGAGAUUUGUGGCAUGAUCAUGAAUUUUAUACAUUACGAUGAAUUAUGGUUAUGAUAAAUUGCAUGAAAAUGAGAUUUGUGGCAUAAUCAUGAAUUUAAUACAUUAUGAUGCCAUUUGUCAUUUUUCAACCUAUGUAUGAAAGUAUAAUUUAUGAAAAAGAAGAAUGAUUUAUGAACUCUCAGAUAGCUAUGCCCACCUCUAGGAAUAGAGGUCAGUCGACCCCCUGGAGCUAGCAUCCAACGAAUAUGGCCCUCUGCCAACGGGUUAAAGUUGGUAACGAAUAAGAAUAAGUUAUAAAACUCGUCGACUACGAAUAUGAACCCUGUCACGGGAUUAUAGUGACCAUAGCCGCACAUCCGUCUGAGAGUAAGAUUUAUAAAGUAUGGAUGAAUGGCAGCAUUUUUAUAUGACUUGCAUUGUCAUGUUUAUGAACUUGCAUGGUUGGAGCAUAAUUUGCUUUAUAACUUGUUUUGAAUAAUUUAUCUAUGAAAUGCUUUAUCUUCUGAUAAGUUCUUCAAAUGAUGCAUUGGCAUGAGAAAAAUUAUGCUUGAUCUAAUAAGAUAGUA